CAGCAGUGGGGAAUUUUGGACAAUGGGCGCAAGCCUGAUCCAGCAAUGCCGCGUGCAGGAAGAAGGCCUUCGGGUUGUAAACUGCUUUUGUCAGGGAAGAAAUCCUCUGGGUUAAUACCUCGGGGGGAUGACGGUACCUGAAGAAUAAGCACCGGCUAACUACGUGCCAGCAGCCGCGGUAAUACGUAGGGUGCGAGCGUUAAUCGGAAUUACUGGGCGUAAAGCGUGCGCAGGCGGUUGUGCAAGACAGGUGUGAAAUCCCCGGGCUUAACCUGGGAACUGCACUUGUGACUGCACGGCUAGAGUACGGUAGAGGGGGAUGGAAUUCCGCGUGUAGCAGUGAAAUGCGUAGAUAUGCGGAGGAACACCGAUGGCGAAGGCAAUCCCCUGGACCUGUACUGACGCUCAUGCACGAAAGCGUGGGGAGCAAACAGGAUUAGAUACCCUGGUAGUCCACGCCCUAAACGAUGUCAACUGGUUGUUGGACGGCUUGCUGUUCAGUAACGAAGCUAACGC
rnacentral:rRNA from 1 species